UGCGUAGGCGGAUUAAUAAGUCAGUGGUGAAAACCUGCAGCUUAACUGUAGGCUUGCCAUUGAUACUGUUAGUCUUGAGUACGGUCAAGGUAGGCGGAAUGUGUAAUGUAGCGGUGAAAUGCUUAGAUAUUACACAGAACACCGAUUGCGAAGGCAGCUUACUGGACCAUUACUGACGCUGAGGCACGAAAGCGUGGGGAGCAAACAGGAUUAGAUACCCUGGUAGUCC
rnacentral:rRNA from 1 species